UACGUAGGGUGCAAGCGUUAAUCGGAGUUACUGGGCGUAAAGGGUGUGUAGGCGGUUGUUUAAGUUUGGUGUGAAAUCUCCCGGCUCAACUGGGAGGGUGCGCCGAAUACUGAAUGACUUGGAGUGCGGGAGAGGUGAGUGGAAUUCCUGGUGUAGCGGUGAAAUGCGUAGAUAUCAGGAGGAACACCGGUGGUGUAGACGGCUCACUGGACCGUAACUGACGCUGAGACACGAAAGCGUGGGUAGCAAACAGG
rnacentral:rRNA from 1 species